rnacentral:rRNA from 1 species
UAAGUAACCUGGCAUCUACAGGGGGAUAACUGAUGGAAACGUCAGCUAAGACCGCAUAGGUGUAGAGAUCGCAUGAACUCUAUGUGAAAAGUGCUACGGGACUGGUAGAUGAUGGACUUAUGGCGCAUUAGCUGGUUGGUAGGGUAACGGCCUACCAAGGCGACGAUGCGUAGCCGACCUGAGAGGGUGACCGGCCACACUGGGACUGAGACACGGCCCAG